UACGGGGGGGGCAAGCGUUGUUCGGAAUUACUGGGCGUAAAGGGCUCGUAGGCGGCCAACUAAGUCAGACGUGAAAUCCCUCGGCUUAACCGGGGAACUGCAUCUGAUACUGGAUGGCUUGAGUUCGGGAGAGGGAUGUGGAAUUCCAGGUGUAGCGGUGAAAUGCGUAGAUAUCUGGAGGAACACCGGCGGCGAAGGCGGCAUCCUGGACCGACACUGACGCUGAGGAGCGAAAGCCGGGGGAGCAAACGGG
rnacentral:rRNA from 1 species